rnacentral:lncRNA from 1 species
CAAAGUAGUAUCCACAACACAAAAUUUCCUUCCCAUUGAGUCAUUCACCAACUUUCAGUCUUCUAGGGGUAGGGGGCUCACUACCUAUGUAUUGGUCUAUUCUUUUAGAGAUACAAAUUCAAAUACCUAUGGGAGUUGAUCAGAAGAUAUUUGAAUCCUACUGAGGCUAUUUAUUCAUAAGAUCAUCCAGGAUGCAUUGAACAUCUUUCUGGCCCAAAAGCUGUUACCCAAAUUAGACCAGACUUCUUGAACAAGUGAUGUAUUUUGGAAUAAUUCAAGACAUGACACAUUUAUCCAAAAGAUAUUUGAGGACUGUCUGCAAUUUAAAUGUGCACAGAAUGAGACUCAGAAAGGUGGAGACUCCCAGUAAAGGAUGACAGAGGGCACAGAAGCCACCAGCAGAUUCUUUGGAAGGAAGUAACAGGAGUGGAACUUCAUUUUCCCAUGGAUUGUAAAGGGUCUUAAGAAAAAAACUAAUUGAGCUCUCCCUGAGGAAGAAGAAAUUCCAGUCUGGCAGCAGACUGGCUUCAGACUUCAGCUGCAACAUCAGCUCUUCCUUGGAUUUCCAGCCUACCUAACUACUCUGCAGAUUUUGAACUUGCCAGCCUCCACAAUCAUGCUGGGCUCCCUUCCACCUCUUCUCACUGGCCUCCUGUUUGUACCCCUGACCUCUCCGGGAUCUGGAUCCCAACACUGUCUUCUGCAAUGAAAACCCUGAUUUUCUAUAUCUGGACAAAAGACUAGGACAUAACGAGAAUUUUAGCGGAAGGAACUGAGGGAGAGAGAUUGCACAGCAGACAAGGACAAAUAAAGGGAAGGUGGAAACAAGGUCACACACUGUUGCCCAGGCUGGAGUAGAGUGGCGUG